AAUAUUGCACAAUGGGGGAAACCCUGAUGCAGCAACGCCGCGUGAGCGAUGAAGGCCUCCGGGUCGUAAAGUUCUGCCCUAAGGGCAGAUAAUGACGGUACCCUAGGAGGAUGCCCCGGCUACCUACGUGCCAGCAGCCGCGGCAAUCCGUAGGGGGCAAGCGUUAUCCGAAAUCAUUGGGCGUAAAGGGUGCAUAGGCUGCCCUAUAGGUCAGAGGUCAAAGGCUACGGCUCAGCCGUAGUAAGCCUUUGAAACUGUAGGGCUUGAGUGCAGGAGAGGAGAGUGGAAUUCCUAGUGUAGCGGUGAAAUGCGUAGAUAUUAGGAGGAACACCAGUGGCGAAGGCGACUCUCUGGACUGCAACUGACGCUGAGGCACGAAAGCGUGGGUAGCGAACA
rnacentral:rRNA from 1 species